AGGCGCUGCGUUCAGUUGCCGGUUGCUGAUAGAAGCCGCUGCAUCUCGGGACAGUUGCUUCAAUACACAAAUCGUAAGCAGUUUCGCAGUGUGCUGGAUCGACAUGUUUAAUCGAAAUACAUGUUUAAGUUUCGAUGAAGAUAGUGGCGCCAUUUGCUUUGAGGUGUAAUAGAGACUUUCAAAUCGCACAUCAAUUUUAAAAUUAUGCGGUCCCACUGCCAACAGUUGCAUCAAGGAUAGAAGAACACAUUCUAAAUGGAGGGAGAGUACUUCAACGAAUAUCAGUUUACAGACCCGAGCUGUGGAGCCUCCGAAACCUGUACAUGUUACACGCAAAUUUUGUUUCAUACGUGAACCACAUCAAUCGGCAGAGUCAGGGAACAAGUUUCAGUUCGCCUUUAAGUUCCAGCGCUCGACUAAACCCCACUGGAGUCGGAUGAAUAGACCUCAUCUUGGAA